GACUCACUGACAAGCUGCUGGAAGCCUUUUUUCCAACAAAGUGCUGAACUCAACUUUUUAGCUCCACUAGAGGGCGACAUUAUGAAGUAGGCGGUGCACUACUUGUGCUCUCUGUUCAAGCAUUGUGUCAAUAAUAACUGCUGCUGUGAAGAGAAGAAUUGUCAGACUCAGUGUUGAACAUCAGCUACUUUCUCCUGUUGCUUUAAACCUUCUUGUAGAGAUGGAACAUUGGCUGUGGAUGAUUCUUGCUGCUCUUUUCUUUGAGUGUAAAGGAGAAGACAGAGUGAUCCAGGAAACAGGAGAUGUCAUUGCUGCUGAAGGAGAGACAGUUACACUCCCCUGUACAUAUGAGAGCAGUAGCACAAGUUCUUAUUUAUUCUGGUACAAACAAGAAGCAAAUGAUUUUCCAAAACUUCUGCUGCAGCGCGUCUCAACAACAGCAGGUAAUCCUGCAGAAAAACAGAAAGAAAGAAUCGAUGCUGUGGCCAACAAGACAUCAGUUCCUCUGGAGAUCCAGAAGCUUCAGCUGUCUGACUCUGCUGUGUACUACUGUGCUCUGAGGCCCACAGUGACAGGAAACAGCACAACUCUGUACAAAAACCUUUGGAGCAAAGACAACAGAAUACUCCACAACAUCCACUAGAGGGAGUCACACACUGUUCAGCCUCAAUGGUUUCUGAUGAUCCAGUCUACAGUCCCUUUGCUCUCAGACUGGUUUUCCUCUCCUCAGUUAAAAACAUCUUCUUCAGAAACAAAGAAAUAUAACAUCAGAUCGUUGAUUUCUUUUUAAAUGGAAAAAAAAUUCUGCUACUAUGAAAAAUGCCUAUGGAUAUAAAAUGUUAUCAACAUUAUCAUGAGCACUGUAAUUAAAGAACCAUAAAAUGUUCCACAUGGUCCCAGAAUAAAGACGAAAGCUUCAGGUAACCAAGUUUCCUCCUGGUGUGUCCGACCUCGGUCUAACAACGGUGUGAAGAAGUGAGACUGGACAUU